UGUGUGAAUUUAAGCCAUAGGGCACAUUCAUAAAGAAGCUUAUCCAUGUUUCCCUAUCAUGCCUACAGUUGAGAGAACUAUAAUGCAUUGAUGUAGUCCUUACAUUUUCAACAACCUACAUUUCAACAAAAGAUGGUAGAUAGAGGAUUCAACUUUUAUUUGAAAAUUCAGGAAAGCUCAGAUCUCUGAACCCACCAAUACAUAUAACCAAAUAUUUUAAAAGCUGAGGUUUAGGUUUCCGAACUAAGACACUUUGUCCCUGUACUUAUACUUGCGCAUGUUUUCCAUUUUUAGCUUUUUCUUCUUUGGUUAGAAUUUCUCGGUCUGCAUUCCUCAGUCCCACUUUCUCCAGGAAUUGACCUGUGCAGGAUUCCCUGGAGUAACUAGUUUGACCUCAAAGGUCUUUUUGCAGGAUUUAAGACCUUAGCUUUUUCUUUUAAGCUGUGUUUUGUCAGCAUAUUCUGAAAUCUCUUGGUAGAUCUACCACAAGCCUGUAUUUUUUUCCUUUUCUUCCUGUUCUGUCAUCCUGUUGAAGUGGCAUACCUACAUCUCUGCUAUGACCAGAUGUCCCUAUAACAGUGUUAUAACUUCAGGUACCUUAUCAUGAUAUUAAACAGUUAUGCUCUGUGAGUGAAAUAUUGGAAAAUCCAGUGUGCUGAGAAAAUGAAACCAUUUAUUCACUCUAACGCAUUCCUUAACUGCCUUUUAAGAGCACAGUCGUCCCAAGAUAAUUUACAAUAUAAAAUAUAUUAAGUCCAAGGUAAUUCUAACAGAUUCAUAAAAUCACAAAUUAGUUUAAAACAGCCAUGUCCCAAACUUUGGCGGAUAUUGGUGGGAAAAACCUACAGGGUGACACUCAGCAAGCAUCCCUAGGAAGAAGAAGGAAAUGAUUUCCUACAAUGGAGAGGAGAUGGGAGAGAGAACUUUAGUACAGAACAUGCUGUUUGGCAGCAAAAAGAGCCAGCGACUGGUGGACGCCUUCAGGCUGAACCUCCUCAGGAAGAAACCACUAGGGAACCAUCUGUUACAAAGAUUUUGAAAGAGGAGGGAGAAGAAUCCCGUGGGGAUGUGCUUCUGUCAUCACCCAUUUACAGGAAUCUCUUCUUGCCAAUCCCCUGAGAUGCCAGUGACUCCUGUCCAGAAGCUCACUCAACACCUGGCAGCCUGGCUUACUAUGGUAAGCAAUUACAUGUUCACAGAAACAGCCUUCUAGAAAGAGUGCUCCCUCAAGUGGUGAAAAAGGUAGAACUGUGAAAGCAUGUUAAAAGGUGAAUCACAUGUGACAUCCAUAUUAAACAACAGUCUCUUUUAAUUCCAGAUUGAAAUACUGUACUGUAUCAAAAGAAAGUGGAUCGCAUUACUAGCGGGAAAAUAUUAUAAAAGGAGAAAAAACACAUUUCUCAAAACCUCUGCUUUGACCCAUAAAAAUGUUGCUCUUUUUUUCUAUUUUUUUUUACUUGAAAGAUGUUCUUCACCUAAGACUGAUCUUCUCACUGCAACAGAACUACAGAACUCCCUAGUCUGCCAUCACAGUCUACUUUGACUUAAGAACAGAUGCAUAACGGAAAAAAAUAAAACUACUGUACUAAAUAUAUGUUAAAAUCA
ensembl:lncRNA